UGAUAAAGGAAAUUAUAUUCAUGAAAAGAUUUACAAUCUAUCGCCUAUCUUCAGCCACUUUAUC
rnacentral:tRNA from 1 species